rnacentral:rRNA from 1 species
GAUGAACGCUGGCGGCGUGCCUAAUACAUGCAAGUCGAGCGAACAGAUGAGGAGCUUGCUCCUCUGACGUUAGCGGCGGACGGGUGAGUAACACGUGGAUAACCUACCUAUCAGACUGGGAUAACUUCGGGAAAGCGGCGCUAAUACCGGAUAAUAUAUUGAACCGCAUGGUUCGAUAGUGAGAGACGGUUUUGGUGUAACUUAUAGAUGGAUCCGCGCCGCAUUAGCUAGUUGGUAAGGUAACGGCUUACCAAGGCAACGAUGCGUAGCCGACCUGAGAGGGUGAUCGGCCACACUAGAACUGGGACACGCUCCAGACUCCUACGGGAGGCAGCAGUAGGGAAUCGUCCGCAAUGGGCGAAAGCCUGACGGAGCAACGCCGCGUGAGUGAUGAAGGUCUUCGGAUCGUAAAACUCUGUUAUUAGGGAAGAACAAAUGUGUAAGUAACUAUGCACGUCUUGACGGUACCUAAUCAGAAAGCCACGGCUAACUACGUG